UACGGAGGAUGCGAGCGUUCUCCGGAUUUAUUGGGUUUAAAGGGAGCGUAGGCCGGUCUUUAAGCGUGCCGUGAAAUUUUGUGGCUCAACCAUGAGAGUGCGGCGCGAACUGGAGACCUUGAGUGCGCGGAAGGCAGGCGGAAUUCGUGGUGUAGCGGUGAAAUGCAUAGAUAUCACGCAGAACCCCGAUUGCGAAGGCAGCAUACCGGCGCGCAACUGACGCUCAUGCACGAAGGCGUGGGUAUCGAACAGG
rnacentral:rRNA from 1 species